rnacentral:rRNA from 1 species
AGCGAACGCUGGCGGCAGGCCUAACACAUGCAAGUCGAACGAACUCUUCGGAGUUAGUGGCGGACGGGUGAGUAACACGUGGGAACGUGCCUUUAGGUUCGGAAUAACUCAGGGAAACUUGAGCUAAUACCGGAUGUGCCCUUCGGGGGAAAGAUUUAUCGCCUUUAGAGCGGCCCGCGUCUGAUUAGCUAGUUGGUGAGGUAAAGGCUCACCAAGGCGACGAUCAGUAGCUGGUCUGAGAGGAUGAUCAGCCACAUUGGGACUGAGACACGGCCCAAACUCCUACGGGAGGCAGCAGUGGGGAAUCUUGCGCAAUGGGCGAAAGCCUGACGCAGCCAUCCCGCGUGAAUGAUGAAGGUCUUAGGAUUGUAAAAUUCUUUCACCGGGGACGAUAAUGACGGUACCCGGAGAAGAAGCCCCGGCUAACUUCGUG